rnacentral:rRNA from 1 species
AACGUAGGACACAAGCGUUAUCCGGAGUUACUGGGCGUAAAGGGCGUGUAGGCGGAGGUGUAAGUCUAUUCUGAAAGCUCCUGGCUAAACUGGGAGAGGCGAAUGGAGACUGCAUCUCUAGAGUGAGGAAGAGGAAAGUGGAAUUCCGCGUGUAGUGGUGAAAUGCGCAGAUAUCGGGAGGAACACCUAUGGCGAAGGCAGCUCGCUGGGACGUUACUGA